rnacentral:rRNA from 1 species
CACGUAGGGGGCAAGCGUUGUCCGGAUUUAUUGGGCGUAAAGAGCUCGUAGGUGGUUCGGGUAAGUCGGGUGUUAAACCCCCAGGCUCAACCUGGGGGACGCCACUCGAUACUGCUGUGACUAGAGUCCGGUAGGGGGAGCGUGGAAUUCCUGGUGUAGCGGUGAAUGCGCAGAUAUCAGGGAGGAACACCGCGGCGAAGCGGCGCUCUGGGCCGGUACUGACACUGAGGAGCGAAAGCGUGGGUAGCAAACAGG